rnacentral:rRNA from 1 species
GACGAACGCUGGCGGCGUGCUUAACACAUGCAAGUCGAGCGGCGCGGCGAACGGGUGAGUAACGCGUGAGUAACUGCCCCCCUCUCUGGGAUAACAGUUGGAAACGGUUACUAAUACCGGAUAGUGGGGGAUGACUUCUGUCCUAUCAGCUUGUUGGUGGGGUAGUGGCAUACCAAGGCGACGACGGGUAGCCGGCCUGAGAGUGCGACCCGUCACAUUGGGCUGAGAUAGGGGCCAAACUCCUACGGGAGGCAGCAGUGGGGAAUAUUGCACAAUGGGGGAAAGCGUGAUGAAGAAACGCCGCGGGCGGGAUGACGGCCUUCGGGUUGUAAACCGCUUUCAGCCAUGACGCGGGAGUGAAAGAAGAAGCACCGGCUAACUACGUGCCAGCAGCCGCGGUAAUAC